UACGUAGGGGGCAAGCGUUGUCCGGAUUUAUUGGGCGUAAAGAGCGUGUAGGCGGCCAUACAGGUCCGUUGUGAAAACUGGGGGCUUAACCUCCAGACGUCGAUGGAAACCGUAUGGCUAGAGUCCGGAAGAGGAGAGUGGAAUUCCUGGUGUAGCGGUGAAAUGCGCAGAUAUCAGGAAGAACACCCGUGGCGAAGGCGGCUCUCUGGGACGGUACUGACGCUGAGACGCGAAAGCGUGGGGAGCGAACAGG
rnacentral:rRNA from 1 species